rnacentral:rRNA from 1 species
UACGUAGGGUGCAAGUGUUAUCCGGAAUUAUUGGGCGUAAAGAGCUCGUAGGCGGUUUGUCGCGUCUGCUGUGAAAACUGGAGGCUCAACCUCCAGCCUGCAGUGGGUACGGGCAAACUAGAGUGCGGUAGGGGAGAUUGGAAUUCCUGGUGUAGCGGUGGAAUGCGCAGAUAUCAGGAGGAACACCGAUGGCGAAGGCAGAUCUCUGGGCCGUAACUGACGCUGAGGAGCGAAGCAUGGGGAGCGAACAGG